rnacentral:rRNA from 1 species
AUUGAACGCUGGCGGCAGGCCUAACACAUGCAAGUCGAGCGGAUGAAGGGAGCUUGCUCCUGGAUUCAGCGGCGGACGGGUGAGUAAUGCCUAGGAAUCUGCCUGGUAUUGGGGGAUAACGUCCGGAAACGGGCGCUAAUACCGCAUACGUCCUGCGGGAGAAAGUGGGGGAUCUUCGGACCUCACGCUAUCAGAUGAGCCUAGGUCGGAUUAGCUAGUUGGUGGGGUAAAGGCCUACCAAGGCGACGAUCCGUAACUGGUCUGAGAGGAUGAUCAGUCACACUGGAACUGAGACACGGUCCAGACUCCUACGGGAGGCAGCAGUGGGGAAUAUUGGACAAUGGGCGAAAGCCUGAUCCAGCCAUGCCGCGUGUGUGAAGAAGGUCUUCGGAUUGUAAAGCACUUUAAGUUGGGAGGAAGGGCAGUAAGUUAAUACCUUGCUGUUUUGACGUUACCAACAGAAUAAGCACCGGCUAACUUCGUG